rnacentral:rRNA from 1 species
UAGCCGUAAACGAUACUCGCUAGGUGUCGGCCACGGUGCGACCGUUGUCGGUGCCGUAGGGAAGCCGUGAAGCGAGCCACCUGGGAAGUACGGCCGCAAGGCUGAAACUUAAAGGAAUUGGCGGGGGAGCACAACAACGGGUGGAGCCUGCGGUUUAAUUGGACUCAACGCCGGACAACUCACCGGGGACGACAGCAAUAUGUAGGCCAGGCUGAAGACCUUGCCUGAAUCGCUGAGAGGAGGUGCAUGGCGUAGACGUCU